rnacentral:snRNA from 1 species
GUACUCACUUCAGCAGCACAUAUACUAAAAUUGGAAUGAUACAGAGAAGAUUAGCGUAGCCCCUGCACAAGGAUGACAUGAAAAUUUGUGAAAUGUUCCAUUUUUUU